ACGCUCGACACCUACGGGAGGUAGCAGUAGGGAAUCUUCCACAAUGGGCGCAAGCCUGAUGGAGCAACACCGCGUGAGUGAAGAAGGGUUUCGGCUCGUAAAGCUCUGUUGUUGGAGAAGAACGUGCGUGAGAGUAACUGUUCACGCAGUGACGGUAUCCAACCAGAAAGUCACGGCUAACUACGUGCAAGCAGCCGCGGUAAUCUGAGCGGGCUGGCAAGGC
rnacentral:rRNA from 1 species